GACGAACGCUGGCGGCGUGCUUAACACAUGCAAGUCGAGCGGUAAGGCCCUUUCGGGGGUACGACGAGCGGCGAACGGGUAGAGUAACACGUGGGUGACCUGCCCUCAGCUCUGGGAUAAGCCUGGGAAACCGGGUCUAAUACUGGAUAUGACUCCAUGACGCAUGUUGGUGGGGUGGAAAGCCUUGUGCGGCUGAGGAUGGGCCCGCGGCCUAUCAGCUUGUUGGUGGGGUGAGGCCUACCAAGGCGACGACGGGUAGCCGGCCUGAGAGGGC
rnacentral:rRNA from 1 species